rnacentral:rRNA from 1 species
CACGUAGGGGGCGAGCGUUGUCCGGAUUUAUUGGGCGUAAAGAGCGUGUAGGCGGCCAGACAGGUCCGUUGUGAAAACUCGAGGCUCAACCUCGAGACGCCGAUGGAAACCGUCUGGCUAGAGUCCGGAAGAGGAGAGUGGAAUUCCUGGUGUAGCGGUGAAAUGCGCAGAUAUCAGGAAGAACACCCGUGGCUAAGGCGGCUCUCUAGUACGGUACUGACGCUGAGACGCGAAAGCGUGGGGAGCGAACAGG